rnacentral:lncRNA from 1 species
CAGUGUCUUGCUGGAGGCCGCCUAAAAUGAGGGCGUGCAUGUCCAAAUCGUUUGCCACCUGCUCGUCUUCUGAAGAGAGGUCCAGGUCGUCGUCUGGACUUUGCGGUUGCUACAAAAGAAUACCCGUUGUAAGACUACAGUAAAAAGCACAGGGACGUGUAAUUUGAUUGGUUUGAAGGCGUCUUGGCUCUGGCGUCUCCUCGAAUUCAGCCGGCUCUCGACUCUCGAAUUCUUUUCAGGAAGAAGAAGAAGAGUGGUUAUUAGUUAUUAAUUAGUUAAUAUUUAUUUGUUUUCGUUGAUAUUUAUAUUUUGUAGCUUUGUGCCUUGUUUGUGUGUAUAUUUUGAGAAUGGAUUCAAAGGCUGGACCCUCACAGGGAAAACCAUGUAAUUUAUGUCCAAAGGUGUACACAAAGUUGAGAUAGCUUCUAGUCCCAGAGAAUGUCGAAUUAUUUGUCCAGUGUGUGAAGAACAAAAUGUAUUACAAAGUCAUCGAUUAUUGCUCGAACAUUUUGAAAAGCAGCAUGCAAUGAAAAUUGAAUUAUCAAUUUUACAGUUUUACAGUAAAGAAAAUUACGAGUCAUGGAAACAAACCGAAAAAAUUGAAACUGCUUAUUCAAUACGUAGAACAAAUAUAGGAAAUGAUCAUAGGGAAGUGACAUAUUUCUGCAAUAGGAGUAAUUUUAAAGGAUAUCAAGAGAAGUAUAAUAAAAGAACCGAGAAGGCAGCUGGAACAAUAAAAAUUAGAGGAAUGUGCCUUCACAGUUGAUUUGUCGAUUGUACUUUGAUGGGAUUGUAUCUGUUAAGUUUUGGAGGACACAUGCUGGACAUAUAACUGAACCAAAUAGACUACAUCUUUCCACCUCAGAGAAAAAUGUUAUUGUUGAAAAAUUGAAGGCUGGUGUAUCUUCUGAUAGAAUUUUAAAAGAUGCAAGGAACAUAGACUCCACUGAGCUGCAUCGAAUAAAUUUGAUAAAUUAAAAUAAUAUCACAUAUUUGAUAAGAAAACACAAAAUCAAUAAUAAAAGGGAUCAAAACAAAAUGAUAGCUGCUGCUUUAAAGGUGAAGAAUGAAUGAAGAGAAGAAUGGAAUGCCAGUGGAAAAAACUUUGCAUUUAUUUACCAGCAAGAAGUAAAGUAAUUAUACAUAAAAAAAAUUAUAUAAAUACUUAUGUGUUAUAUAUUGAUGGGGAAUAUGUGAAUAUAUGGGUAUACAAAAAUCAAAACAAAAACUGUUGCAUGUUGUCAAUGAUCCUAUGCAUAUUUAAAUGGAAUGCCUAGAUCUAUCUAUACAUAUAUGUAUGUAUAGAUACUGUAUGUAUAUGCUGGUACAUGUAAUACUUUUUAUUUUGAUUUUUGUAUAGAUAUAGUGUAUCCAAAGUCAAUUGGACCAAUACAUUCUGCAGCUGGCUUCUCUCUGAAUAUGGUGUCAUUGUUAUGAGUACUACAUUUUUUUACAGGGGACUGACCAACAAUAUUGAUUCAAUUGACUUUGGAUAUUGUUUAAACAUUUUUAAGAAAUUAGUUUUCUCGUUCAAGAGAAGUAUUACCUAGAUUUAUUGUAGUUGGUGUGGUAUA